UCCUACGGGGGGCUGCAGUCGAGAAUCUUCCGCAAUGCGCGAAAGCGUGACGGAGCAAUGCCGCGUGAAGGAUGAAGGUCUUCGGAUUGUAAACUUCUGUCGGGGGGGACGAACAAUGACGGUACCCCCAAAGGAAGCCACGGCUAACUACGUGCCAGCAGCCGCGGUAAUACGUAGGUGGCGAGCGUUACUCGGAGUUACUGGGCGUAAAGGGUCCGUAGGUGGCCCUCUAAGUCUGAGGUGAAAGCCUGCAGCUCAACUGCAGAAGUGCCUUGGAUACUGGAGGGCUAGAGUGCAGGAGAGGCAAGUGGAAUUCGUGGUGUAGCGGUGGAAUGCGUAGAUAUCACGAGGAACACCAGAGGCGAAAGCGGCUUGCUGGACUGCAACUGACACUGAGGGACGAAAGCUAGGGGAGCAAAAAGGAUUAGAUACCCUAGUAGUC
rnacentral:rRNA from 1 species